GAAGGACUUCCGGUGGCUUCCAAGGCGACUCCGUAGUGGAUGCAGCGCCGGACGCCACAGCCGAAAAACAGAAUCUUGGAACUGGUUUAGUACAAUCCAGCCAACGAGUGGAUAAAGAAAAUGUGAUAUAUAUGCACUAUGGAAUACUAAGCCAUAAGAAGGAAUGAAAUAAUGGCAUUUGCAGCAACCUAGAUGGAGUUGGAGACCAUUAUUCUAAGUGAAGUAACUCAAGAAUGGAAAACCAAAUAUUGUAUGUUCUCACUCGUAAGUGGGAGCUAAGCUGCGAAGAUGCAAAGGCAUAAGAAUGAUAUAGUGGACUUUGAGGACUCAAGGGUUGAAGGAUGAGACUACACAUUGGGUACAGUGUGCACUGCUUGGGUGAUGAGUGCACCAAAAUCUCAGAACUCACCACUGAAGAACUUCCCCAUGUAACCAAAAACCACCUGUUCCACAGAAACUAUCGAAAUAACAUUUUUAAAACUUUACUAUUUCUGAAUAAAAUUUACAUACAUUUCUCAGAAAAAAAAAUAUUUGGAAUUGAGGUAUCUAAUAGAGAACUGAGUUAAAUUAUUGCCACUUAAAAACACAAAGUGAUAUAGCCACUUUAUGAAUUAAUCAGUCAGCAGUGGCUAGGUUAUGCUUAGUGGUUUAUAACCAAAUCUUAGUUUAUAACAACAAAUGUGUAUUGUUAAUUCCCACUACAAGUUUAUAACGACAUUGCUGGAUGCUACACUCCAUGUCUCUUUGUGGGACCCAGGCUCAUGGGACUUCUGUUACCUGCAUUAGAGAGA
rnacentral:lncRNA from 1 species